AAAAUUUUAGUUUAUCUUUAAAACAUUUCAAUUACAAUGAAAAAAAUGAACUUAUUCAAAAUUUUA
rnacentral:tRNA from 1 species